CCGUCGCUGGCGGCACGCCUAACACCCUGCAAGUCUCAACGAAAGUAGCAAGUACUUAGUGUGCAGACGGGUGAGAUAACAUGUUAGGUAUCUGCCCUUCUGAGCCGUGGUAAUAACACGAGGCAAACGUUGUAGCUAAUAUCCGGGAUAAGAUCCUAUCUACGUGAGAAAGCUGUUAUGCACCAGUUGGAUGGAGGCCGUAGUCACUUGCAUUGAUGUUUGUCGGGUGUGGGCUAACUGGCCGUACCUAGAGACUGCUGAUUCAGAUAUGCUGAUUUUGUAUCGAGGAUGAUCGAGCCGACGAUUUGGUGCACUUGGACCACACGGGCCCAAAACUCAAUACGGGAGGCAGCAGUGGGGAAUCUUGCACAAUGGAGGAAACUCUGAUGCAGCGAUGCCGCGUGAGUGAAGAAGGCCCUUGGGUUGUAAAGCUCUUUCGUCGGGGAACGAAAAUGACUGUACCCGAAUAAGAAGGUCCGGCUACACUUCGUGCCAGCAGCCGCGGUAAUACGAAGGGACCUAGCGUAGUUCGGAAUUACUGGGCUUAAAGAGUACGUAGGUGGUUGAAAAAGUUAGUGGUGAAAUCCCAGAGCUUAAGCUCUGGAAACUGCCAUUAAAAACUUUUCAGCUAAGAGUAUGAUAGAGGAAAGCAAGAAUUUCAUAGUGUCAGAGGUGAAAUUCGUAGACUCUUCAGACGAAUACCAAUUGCGAAGGCAGCUUUCUGGAUCAUUACUGACCCUGAGGAACCGAAAGCAUGGCU
rnacentral:rRNA from 1 species